GGGGCUGUGGCUCAGUGGCAGAGUGCUUGCUUCACACGCAUGAGGCUCUGGGUUUGAUCCUCAGCACCGCA
rnacentral:tRNA from 1 species